rnacentral:rRNA from 1 species
CGGGGGGAGCAAGCGUUGUUCGGAUUUACUGGGCGUAAAGGGCGCGUAGGCGGCCACCGCAAGUCGACUGUGAAAUCUCCGGGCUUAACUCGGAAAGGUCAGCCGAUACUGCGGGGCUAGAGUGCAGAAGGGGCAACUGGAAUUCUCGGUGUAGCGGUGAAAUGCGUAGAUAUCGAGAGGAACACCUGCGGCGAAGGCGGGUUGCUGGGCUGACACUGACGCUGAUUGUGCGAAAGCUAGGGGAGCGAACGGGAUUAGAUACCCCGGUAGUCCUAGCCUUAAACGAUGAAUGCUUGGUGUCUGGGGUUUUAUAGUCCCCGGGUGCCGUCGCUAACGCUUUAAGCAUUCCGCCUGGGGAGUACGGUCGCAAGACUG